CGCCCUCCCCUUUCAGCCGCGGCCCGCGACUCGGUAAGUGGCUUCCGACGGGCUCGACGCCGGAGCCGGCCACGUGGCCUGGGGUCUCUCCGGUGGCAGUUACUAGGCGCGCCCCUCCUUGUCCCCGUGCCCGCCCCGUCCGGGCGGCCGGGACCCGGGUUCGGCCUCAGCUCGGUGUCCCCUCGGGAGAGGCCCUCCCAGGCCCGGGGAAGGAUCACCCUGGGGAGCCCUGUGAGGGCCCCCUUUGGGUGGGGACGUCUUCGUGGUGCCGGGGGCCCUUCCCGGGAAGCACCCUCGUGGCGCCUAAGGCCCCUCCUCUCCCCAGUGGCCGGGGCGCCUGCAGCAUCUCGUGCAUGUGGCCCCGACGCUCAAGGGAUCCGGGCCACAGGGAGCUUCAAGCUCCUUUUUCAAUGAAAAGAUAACAUUUCAAGAAUCAAACUGACCGGGGGCAGAGGCGCAGAGCCCGGGACGGUGUCCGAGUCCUUGGCGCCCUCGGGGCUCCCGCCUGUCCAGCGGUUCCCCUGACCCGCACACAGCCAGUUUAGGAAGCGCAUGUGGUUAUAGAUCUGAAGCGCUUUCCGUUUCCCUGCGAACAGUAUAAUUCCGGUGUUAGCAACAAACCGAGGUGAUUUCGCCCACACAGCCACUCCGCCACAAAUGCCUUUCAGCUGCCACUUUGCACGGUGGUUGGGCUUCAAAACGUCUGGUAGUGAGUCUUGCGGGAGCGGAUAACUGCUGUGAGCCUUAAUGGGGGAGCCUGCAAUUUUCUCCCCCAGGUUCACCUUUUUAGGAGUGACCAGUGCGUUACGCGCCGCAGGACCCUCAUCCAACAUUUUAAGUGUUCUUGACUGGUACACAUUACUGUACAAAUGGUUAUUCUCCGAAUUUAGUAAAAUUUUUAAAUAUCUAAAGUGAGUGAAUGAAGCUGUCAUAGGUACCACUUAUUAGUCACCUCUUGAAAUGUGAGCGUCGUGGGGUUUACUUGUUCUCCUCAGAAUUGUGAGAGACUAUUUUACUGAUUAGGAAACCAAAAGGGAUAUCAAUUUUAUCAUGCUCUUACAGAGGAAUAAGUGUCGUGUUGCAGGCUGUGCUCUAGGCACCCUUUUUCCAGCCAUAUACAUGGGCCCAGAGCCCGUGGACAGCUUUCCCUGCCCCUAAUGCUCCAUCUGGUCAGUAGUGUACAACACGGAAAUGCCACGGUCAAGCUGUUUGACGACUGCUUUAGGUGUGGGGGCUCCUGUUGAGCCAAACUAAACAAUUCCAUGUGAGAGAGCCAGGCAGCAUGACCGGGAAGCGGCUUGAGCCAGCGUCUAUUUGAGGAUUAUGGAAACUGAGCAGGUGCUGAGGACUGUUCCCGGCCUCUGGGCUCUGCUUCCACCUCUGAGAGGUAAACAAGUUUCAGGCUUCCUUUGGUUUUUAAAUGUUAAACGUUUGUUUCACUUCUUCCUAGGUAAAUACUGUUGCCAGUAUUUUUUUGUGUGUCAUUGAUACUAUUCCAUGCUAAUGUAACAAAGAGAUAAAGUUGGAAAGAUUAUGACUACUGAUAUUCUAUUAAGUGGAUUCCCUGAGUAUAGGAAUUUAAUUCAUUAUUCAUUUUACUCUUGGCUGGAAAUUAUAGGUGAUUCCCAAGGAAAUUUGGAGAAUGUAGCUUUUUUACGGGAAUUGUAUUCAAAGGUAGUUUUUUACUUAUUCAUCAAAAGUAGCUAGUAGAUAGCCACAAUAAAAGCCACUCUUUCCAAAAAAAAAACCAUGAAAAGUUAACUGCAUGAUACCCUUAACAUUGUUCUCCCUUUUCUACCAGGUUCAGUGCAGUUCAAGAUACUGAUGAAUUAAGGUAUGGACCAAAGGGAAAGAAUUUGGCUUGAAUUACUAAAUAGUUGAAUGGAAGUCUUGGCCAAGGAUGAGAACUCGAAUCUGAUCGGAUAUGCUUCUGCUCUGAUGGGUUGAAGGAUUUACCUGAGGCCAACUUGAUAGGGAGGAAUUUAUUACAUGCAGUCACAUCCCCUCCCCCCCCCAUUUAAAAAGUAUGUUUUAAAUAAAAAGAAAAAAAAGUCUCCGGUAAAUACAUAAUACUUUGUUAUGCCAAGGAAAAGAUUAUUUUAGAAAAGGUGGAUUUUUAAGUGAUUGACAUUAAUCUUUCAAAAUGUUUAUCUUUUUCAAUGGUGGCUAUUUUGGUAAAUUAACGUCUUUUGAGAAGCUUUUGAGUUUGAGUCUUAUGGAAGGCUGAGGUGAAUUGUUAGCAUUAGUAAGAUAGGAUUUUGAGUAAAAAAUUUGUUUUUUGUUAGGAACAUCACUAUGUCUGAGUUGGCAAUGUGUAGCAGCACAUCGGGGAAUUCUGUUUACUUGUCUGCACAGCUUUUGUAAAUAUGAUUUAGAAACCACUGUCUUUCUCUUAAUAGUAAAUCUUUUAUUGAGUAAUUUCUGAUCUAAUUACCUCUGUGAUACUUCUUUUACAGGGCUGGUGCUUGAAGGACAGAAUUGUGCUUGAAAGAAGCUUUUCAAGUAGAUAAGGAGUAUUUGAACAUGUGACAACUGAUAUACACAGAAUAGAGGUUUUUUUUCUUUGUCCCUUCUAUGGUGGUAGCAGGGGUGAAUUUUGAGAAGGUAAUAGGUCUGAACACAGAGCCUGUUGAGCCCGGCCCCCAUGACCAUGGGUACUUCUGAUGAGCUAAGUUGUGCCAUCUUGCCUGUAGGAGCAAAUAAUGUCCUUCAGAUGCCCCCAUGUGGUUCCAGGUUUGAUACAUUCCCUGCUCCAUCUCCCCUAAAUCCCCUUCCCUAUACCAUCGCAGCAUAGAAUUGAACAAUACCUUACGUAGAAUCUAGCAUCACCAAAGAAAAUGGGAUGAGGAAUUGCAGCCAGUCACACGAUUCUGCAGAGUCAACUUGCCCUCCUUGGCACAGCACACACUCACAUGUUGAGCAGAGCUAAAGCAGGAAUGGAAAGAUGCCAACCUGACUGUUAAACUACCAGGCCGUUCUUUUGUGCUUGAGUGCCCUGAAGAGAAGUGAAGCAAAUCUGGAGUUGAAUGCAGUGUUUUCAAGGAGGACUUAUUAGUUCCAAGGGAGGAGCUUGGUCAUGAAGAGAAUAUCUGAUUAUGACUAGAAAGGAAAUGUGAUCAGAAUACAAUUUUAUGCUAAUGGUUAUGAUUUCAUUGAAAAUAUGAAAUCUUGAGGACUCCAGUCGCUAACCUCUCCUGAUGUGACCUGCCCAGGAUCACAGUUAUGCUGUUGCUAUGUCAGUUCAGGUAAAUUGAGUCACAUAAUUGGAUUUCAAGAAUGGGCAUAUCCCUUUGUUGUUUGAGGUACAGUAGUGUUCCUAAGCACUUGGAUACAAGUAGUUUUUCUUAAAACCAGGCAAAUCUUUGUAGUUCAAAUGAAUAUUCCAAACUAAACUAGGUAUUUUUUGAGGUUCUUAAGACCUUAAAUAUUUAAUCAUAUAACUUGGCAAAUAUUUACUCUUUCUCCUAUGUGUUAAGUCCCAUGGUGGGUGAUUCCUGACUUUAUGGAGCUUACACGGUGUGACUUACCCAUAUUGCUAUGUAAAAUGGAGCCAGUUAGAAUGCCUCAGUCGACUUCUAUUAUGAGGAAUUUCACCUAAUAUCUGAAGAUUCAAUUUUAGGGUAAACUGUGAAGAGACUAUUAUAUCGGUUUACAUCCCCCACAUCACCAUGUUCCCAGAGUGAUUUGGGGUGGCUUAUAAACAAAUAGCAAACAAUACAAUAAUUAGAAGAGGGAGUAAAAGCUCAGCGAGGAGAGAGCAGGGUUAGAAAACCAAGCCAUUGGACCUGGGGUUUUAGGCUUCUGCCAAUUUGGUUCUGAGCCUCCUAGGGGCCAGAGGAAAGAGCUAGCUGCCAAAUUUGUAAUUUGGUACUUGACUAGAACUUUAGAAUGGAGGGGGAGAAGGGAGAGGAGGGCUCAUUUGCAUUCUAGGCUCCCAGGAUCCCAAGUGAGAAGAUACAUUUUUCCCCUCUUGACCUCAAGUACCUUGAAGGGAGAAGUAGAACAGAGAAGGUGUCCAGAUAACUAAACGGGGAUCUAGAGAUCAUGGAGACGGAUGCAUUUGGCUCUGGAGGAGUGAGGUCAGUUGGCCAGUGACCCUUGGGAGCCUGGGCAUACUCAAAGCCAGGGGUAACACCUUUUGAGAGAAAAGCCAUAUUUAGAUUGUAUGAACAGAUAAACAGAGAUGUGUUUGAAAGGCUUAUUUUUAUUUUAUACUCAUAAAGGUCCCCUUUCUGAAAUUUACCUUGUAUGCAUAAACUGAAAAGUUCUGAUUCAGAUAUUUUGUUAUAAAGUUGUGAUUUAUCACAAUCGGGGACUAUGCAAUCACGACUAGAGGCCCCCUAGUGGAGUUUAUGUGUAUUGCAAGGGGCCAGUUGUCUUGAGGUACCCUCAAUCCUUGCCAUCUGCAUUUCCUGAAGGACUGCUCUACAUCAGUCUGUCUCAGAGAUGAAAAGAUAAAAUCCAGUCAAAUCAGUUUGAUGUAUGUCACCGGGAUUUGUUUGUGGGAACAGAGCAGAAUGUUGUAGUUGAUGGAACGCAGCCUAACACCAUUGAUUUUCCAGUUGGACAAAUGCCUUGGCAUGUUACCUCCACUCUUUAAGGCAGAAUAGAGCCCAUUGUAUCAUUUAUCAACCUCCUAUAGUGGAGAAAUACAUGGAACAUUGGGAAUAACCACAGACUCAAAAACCACACUCCAAUACAGUAACCACUAGCCACCUGUGGCGACUGAGCACUUGAAAUGUGGCUAGUCCAAACCGAUAUGUGCUUAGGUAUAAAAAACAUCAGAUUUGGAAGAAUUAAUACAUUAGAAAAUUGUGAAAUAUCUCAAUUUUGAGAUAAUAUUUUGAAUAUAUUGGGUAAAAUGAAAUAUAUUAUUAAAAUUAUGUAAAUGUGAUAGACAUUGCAUUUCUAUUGAGCAACACUGGUCUAAAACAUGAAUCAAAAUGAUCGUGGAAGCAUGCAGAUAGUGGUUCCACAAUCCAGUAGAGAGAGGUUACUUUCCUUCUACAUAGGACCUUGAGGAAAAGUAAGAGUAAAAUUAGCGCUUAAAAUGCAUACUUUACAGGUGAGCAGAAGGUGCAGGUGUGGGCAGCCAGUGCUACUUAGAAGACUUGACAUAAAUUCUAUGCUCACACUGCUAGCACUUCUGGGGAUUCUAAAUAAAAGACUUCAGAAUGUAUUUAUUAAACACUCUUGUUCUGUGCCUGCUCUGCAAGUACUCGUGUGUUCAUUAGAAUAAUCAAGGGCCAAGGGACUUGGUAUGCCAUAUCGUGUCAAAAUACAACUUCCUUAGUGAAGAAUCCAUAUGAAGAACAGUUCUGGUUCCCUGACCUGGUUAGUUUGGGGUGUGUGUGUAUGUAUUUGUGUCUGUAGUAAUGUAGUCUUUCAGGUUUUUUUUAUGGAAGGGAGAGAUUGAGGGAAGUGGCACCAUAAAUACUACAAGAACGUAUAUAAAGUAUAAUUUUUAAAACUACCUUAUGUUAAGCAAAAUGUUCCACAAAAUUCUCUCCUUCUCUCAUUGUCACUUAGCUCUAAAAAGCAAGUCUGUGUAAAAUCCCCUUUUUGUAGUGUCCUUACUACCACCGUCAUGCGCCACAUAUGAUGGGCCGCAUAUACGACACUGGUCCUAUAAGAUUAGUACCAUACAGCCUGGGUGUGUAGUAGGCUGUACCAUCUAGGUUUGUGUAAGUACACUCUAUGAUGUUCGCACAAUGAUAAGAUCACCGUCACCCAACAACACUUCUCAGAAUGUAUCCUGUCGUUAAGCGACACAAGACUGUAAUAAUGAAUUUUUGUCAUUUUCGUUAGUAAAUGGAUUCUUCCUUUAGUUUCCAAUUUCUCUUAAGCACUAGUUCUUAAGAAUGGCUAGAGGGGAGACAAUUUUGUCCUCCUUGGGGGACAUGUCUGAAGACACUUUGAUUGUCACAACUGGGUUGGGAGGGAUGCUACCGGCAUCUACUGGGUAGAGGCUGGAGAUGCUGCAAAAUAUCCUACAAUGCACAGAACAGCCCCCACACCAAAGGAUUAUCUGACCCAAAAUGUCAAUAGUGCAGAGGUUGAGAAACCCUGUCUUAGAAAAUGUCAUUUCCAACAAGGCCAACCUGCUAAGGUGCCACUGAAUAAGCUACAGACUAUUCCUAAAAUGUGACUUUCCCACACACAGAAAAGUUCUCUACUUUAAGGCCUCAGUGGGCUUAAUUGCUAGCAUCAUGGUUCGUUCUUCUAAGUGAACUUAUAUAUUAGAGCAUUUACAAAAUAGCAUUUCAUUAUUAUUUUGAGCAAAGAGCUACCUGGAUUUUCUUCUAGGCUCCUCAAAAGCUAGUUUUAGUGUUGUUUAUAAGUGACCUGAACUCAAAAUUUGCUCAUCACAAACUAGUGGGGUUUUUGGGGGGGGUUUUUUUGGUGAGAAAGAUUGGCUCUAAGCUAACAUGCAUUGCCAAUCUUCCUCUUUUUGCUGAGGAAGAUUAGCCCUGAGCUAACAUCUGUGCCCAUCUUCUUCUACUAUAUAUGUGGGACACCGCCACAGCAUGGCUUGAGUGGUGCUGCGUAGGUCCGUGCCUGGGAUC